GAUGAACGCUGGCGGCGUGCCUAAUACAUGCAAGUCGAGCGAACAGAUGAGGAUCUUGCUCCUCUGACGUUAGCGGCGGACGGGUGAGUAACACGUGGAUAACCUACCUAUAAGACUGGGAUAACUUCGGGAAACCGGAGCUAAUACCGGAUAAUAUAUUGAACCGCAUGGUUCACUAGUGAAAGACGGUUUUGCUGUCACUUAUAGAUGGAUCCGCGCCGCAUUAGCUAGUUGGUAAGGUAACGGCUUACCAAGGCAACGAGGCGUAGCCGACCUGGGAGAGUGAUCGGCGACACUGGAACUGGGACACGGGCCAGACUCCGACGGGAGGCCGCAGCAGGGAAUCUUCCGCAAUGGGCGAAAGCCUGACGGAGCAACGCCGCGUGAGUGAUGAAGGUCUUCGGAUCGUAAAACUCUGUUAUUAGGGAAGAACAAAUGUGUAAGUAACUAUGCACGUCUUGACGGUACCUAAGCAGAAAGCCACGGCUAACUCCGUG
rnacentral:rRNA from 1 species